rnacentral:lncRNA from 10 species
UGUGUUCUACUUUGUUUCAAUACACAUCUACUACAGAGGAGAUUGCCUGGGUUGCAUGGGACUGUCGGUAUAAUCAAGCAAGCAAGCAAUACAGUGAAAUUGAUGUCAUGUGAUGAGCACCCAUUUGGAGGUCUGAAGAUCUCAGCAUGGAGCCAAGCCACCAUGGCCCUAUUCUUAAACCUUUCAUCAUCCAUGAUGAAGAAGACAUCAUAAUUUUUCCUUCUAGAAGAUAUAUCCCAGAAAGCAGUGGAUUUCCAGAGCUGAAUGAAUGAUACAACCAAAAGAACCUGCUGGUUGAACAUAAGAAAUCCCCCCAGACCCAAGGUAAGGCUUAGAGCAGUGGAAUGAAGCUCAGCUAAAGGCAGGAAUUGGACAGCCACCCAUCUGAAGGCACUGGGGCCCAGGACACGCUGGAGAUUCUUGGAGGUGGGAAGUAAGCAGAGGCUCCACCAUCAAAGUUUGGAGGAGAAGGGGUCUGGGCUCCUCUCAGUCAUGUACAAGUUCCUGCAGUGGAGGAAAGCCCAGUUCCAAGAAACACAGCGAAGGAAGCGUGGGCAGAGGCACAAAUAGCAGAUUGGAUGCCCCAGCCUAGAGCCUUCAGAGUGUGGCUUCCAGAACCACAACAAACUCUAACAGACUUUCCACAGAGAUGGGAAGGAAGUUGCUAGAACAAACACUAUCCUGAAACUUGCCCCAAAUCUGAACCUCAUCAAACCCCAGUGUUUUUUUGAGGUUAGAAAAAGCCUGGCUUAGCAUUUUUAAAACAAUAUCUAUUUGCCUUUUGUCUACCAUUUGCAGCCAGAAGUGGAAGUUCUAAAAACCCAUUAAAAACUUUGGGUUUUAUUUUGUAUUUAUUUCUUUACUAUAUGCUUUGCCUGGCCAAAACCAGAAAAUGCUGGAAUGGCACAAGUUCAUUCUCCUGAGAUAUCCAGAUCAAAGUUGUUUGGAACUGCUUGGCAAAAUAUCUGAAUUUUUCCAUUCUUAUCCAAACCAAUGCCUCCAAUCCCUUGCAAUUUACUCAUAUGCAUCCACCUUCUCAAGUGUUCUGAGGCAUUUCUUUCAGCACACACACUGGCCUUCAAAGGGUAACAAGAAAUUGUGUGCUGGCAGAAGCUAUAUUUUCAAGUUUAUGCCUUCAAUUCAUUAUCCGACAAAGAGAACAAGAAAUUCUGGCAAUUUUAUCCACUCUAUAUAUUCCACAUGGAGUAAAGUAUAGGAAGAGCAAUGUCAAAGACCCUCUUGCAUAGAGAUUUAUUUGUUGGCAGUAUAUUUUACACUGCUAAAUUAUCAUCCUCUCUCCUAAGUGUGGAAUCCAGUUUGGCCAAGUAAAACUUUAAAGCAGCACAUAUAAUCCGACCAGCAAAUUUACUGGGAAACUGGUCUUGUUCUUUUCAUAGUGCCUUAGAGAAAUGUCCCUGCGGGUGGGGGGUUAGCAAAACUUGCCCUCUCAGAUAUGUUGUAUUUUUGUUGCAGAAUUCACAUUUUACACUUAUUUCCCAUUGGUCAUUCUUAUUCUAAGUGGCCUUAAUCCAUAGAUGUUACCUUUCAGGAACAUAUUAAGGGUAUAAUGCAGUGCAUGCUGCAAUGUUAAUCUUGUCUUCAUAAAAAUACUUCAAUUUAUCAUCUAUAGAUUUCUUUUCCCGUGGUAAUUUUAAUCUUGAUUUUUUUCCAUGAGAUACAAAACAAGAAUUUGCCUCACAAAAAAAGUCAACUUUUAAGAGAACUCUUCCACCUUUUCAUUAAAAUGAAGAAAAUGCAUGAUGCUGCCUUACUCAAAGCUACUGAGAAAACAUCCCAGUAAUGCACCUCCUCACCUGUUACAUGUUUUAGCCUCAGUUCCUAUUUGGGUACCUGGGUAUUUUUCAGGUAUACCCUUGGCUAUUUCUGGGUGUGUAUUUGAAACCAUCUUCAUUAGCAUAAUAUUUUUCUAAUGUCAAAUGAAAAACAUUUUUAUGAUCAGAUAGAUGAACUUCUAAGGUCAGCAAGCCUGUCUCAGUUUCUAAUAUUUCCAAAAUAUACAAGUGAUUCUUUUGCUUUAUAAACCUCCACCUGCUUCUUUCUUUCAUGUAAUUCGCCUUUGUUCAGUUAUUUUGCACCACCCCUGGAGUGUUUUCAAAUAUAUUUUAAACCCCCAAGCAACCCCAUUUCAGCUGAUUGACUUUAGAGAACUCUAAUGCUGGCCAGGCAUUUUGCUGCAACCCCAUUUAGACUCAGCAGGAAGAGCAGAUUUAAAAGGCAGAUUACGUUUUUAGCUUUUUAAAAACUGCUUUAUUAGAGAGGCUAAAAGCCACAGUGGUGGUAAGCUGAAUUCUUUUGAAAUACAAGCAACUUCAAGACAUCUAGGGAGUAGCUCCUCACCCGUGGAGCUCCUCCCUUUGGGUUUCAAUGAUGGCAGGGACCAGCUGGCUCCAAGUAUUUUUCUUAAGGGUCCUUGUGGCUCCAACAACAGAAUCCCUAAAAGCACCAAAGAGGUUUCAUUUAAGGGUCGGAGACCUUUGAAAAGCAGCUCACCGAGGUUCCCGCCUCUGGACUUCUGGCAGGCCAUUUUGUGUGAAAGUGUUGUUACAUACUGGCUUCUACUGAAAUGGAGGGGCUGGCCAAGGGGCAAUAGGUAGGGAACUAUAAUGAGGAUGUGAAAGCCGCUUACAGAAGAGGUGAGAAUACCUGCAGGCCUCAUUCCUAUGACAGGCAUCUGGGAGUCCCAAAAGAUGGCUAAAAAACAAACAAACAAACAAACAAACAAAAACGGGUGGAUGGAUGGAUAGAUAAGACAUAGAUAGAUAGAUAGAUAGAUAGAUAGAUAGAUAGAUAGAUAGAUAGAUAGACAGACAGGCGGAGGCCACAGUAGUGGCUACUGCUUCACACACCAUCUUAAAACAUGUGCUACUACUAAUCAAUGCAUUCCUUCUCACGUACUUGGG